rnacentral:rRNA from 1 species
AGAGUUUGAUCCUGGCUCAGAGUGAACGCUGGCGGCAGGCCUAACACAUGCAAGUCGAGCGGCAGCGCGGGGGCAACCCUGGCGGCGAGCGGCGGACGGGUGAGGAAUGCAUCGGAAUCUGCCUCGUUGUGGGGGAUAACGUAGGGAAACUUACGCUAAUACCGCAUACGACCGAGAGGUGAAAGUGGGGGACCGCAAGGCCUCACGCGAUGAGAUGAGCCGAUGCCGGAUUAGCUAGUUGGUGGGGUAAAGGCCCACCAAGGCGACGAUCCGUAGCUGGUCUGAGAGGAUGAUCAGCCACACUGGAACUGAGACACGGUCCAGACUCCUACGGGAGGCAGCAGUGGGGAAUAUUGGACAAUGGGCGCAAGCCUGAUCCAGCCAUGCCGCGUGUGUGAAGAAGGCCUUCGGGUUGUAAAGCCCUUUUGUUGGGGAAGAAAGCGUACGGAUUAAUACUUCGUGCGGAUGACGGACCCAAAAGAAUAGCCCCGGCA